GCUGUGCCCCUGCCUCUGCCCAGGAGAGGCUAGGAGCAUCCUUCCUUCCCCCUUGCUGUUGUCACACGUCUGCUGGGGGCAGUCGCCCUGGUUGAGAACCCCAUCUCCAGAUGCUCUCCCAUGCCCUGCCUUAGGGCUACCUGGCCCGGAUCUAUACGCAAACCCUGGGCUUUAGACGCAGUCUUUGGAGGGAAACGGAGUGUGUACCCCCCCAGCUGAGCGUGGAGGCUGGGGUGCCCUGGGAAUGCAGCCUGGGGGUGACCUCUGGAGUCUUACUAAGAGAAGUCGGUGGAGGGCAUUGGCUUCCUGGUGGGAAGCUGAGCCUUCCCUUGGGGCUUGAUCAUAUUUCUUGACCCCAGAACGUCUCUUGGUUUUUUCCUCCCUCUUACCAUCCCUCAUCCUCUUCAGGAAAAAAAAAAAAAAAUCUCUUCUGCAAAUUGCCACUUUAUCUGAAUCAUUCCUAUCGGGUGUCUAAUCCCUGCUGAUGGAAGAAGGCUGUUCUGCAUGCGAUCGCCUGCAUUUAUUUACACAUCAGCGGUGAGAGCAGGGCCUGAUGCCUUCGUCUGGAUGACACAGCUGCUCUUUAAAAAAAAAAAGGGCAUCUAUUUAAAAGGCCGUUGCUGGGAAUCAUCAGCUGAAAAACAACGCCGAGAUGGCUGUGCAGUGUGACAAUGGUUCUGGCGCAGCCUGGCCGUGGACGGGGGCCUGUCGCAUUUCUGAUCGAUAAUAAGCUGGUUCAGGAGCGAUGCGCCAGCAUCCCGUGUGCUUGCAACCCACAAUUAGCACACAGAUUGCCCCUCCCUGGAGCCGCGGAGCACGUGCAACGGUGGCUAAACAGAGCCUCAGGCUUCCAGGACUUGCUAGGUGCUCAGGCCCUCCUCUUCCAAGGACUGUGGGCCAGGCCUACCACCCACCCCAGCAGGUGACCAUCAGCAUCUGCACCCUUGACUUGCUCUGCUUGUGGGAGCAUCUUGAGGUGGUCACCUUAUCAGAGGACCCAGGUGACCCAGGGAGCAGUGGCAGACGCAAGACGGGAUGUGUCCCUGUGUGAGUCCUGAUAUCUUUCCACGGGCAGAAGAGGGCAAGUUGUCAUGGGGUUGGUCCUCAGUUAAUGCAUAAUAAUUCUUAAAAACAUAGAAGUAUGUCAAUUAAUAUUAUUUAGUAUUAAAACUUUAAUUCUUAAAACUAAUGCUCAGAUGAACUUUCCGAGUGGCCAAGGGUCCCCUUUGCCCAUCCCCUGAGCCACAAGGCUCAAGAAGGGGGGUUGAUGUCCAGGCUCACCC
rnacentral:lncRNA from 1 species